GGAAUAUUGGACAAUGGGCGAAAGCCUGAUCCAGCCAUGCCGCGUGUGUGAAGAAGGCCUUUUGGUUGUAAAGCACUUUAAGCGGGGAGGAGGGCACCACGGUUAAUACCCGUGAAUGUCGGACGUUACCCGCAGAAUAAGCACCGGCUAACUCUGUGCCAGCAGCCGCGGUAAUACAGAGGGUGCGAGCGUUAAUCGGAAUUACUGGGCGUAAAGCGCGCGUAGGCGGCUUGUUAAGUCAAAUGUGAAAUCCCCGAGCUUAACUUGGGCAUUGCAUUCGAUACUGGCAAGCUAGAGUAUGGGAGAGGAAGGUAGAAUUCCAGGUGUAGCGGUGAAAUGCGUAGAGAUCUGGAGGAAUACCGAUGGCGAAGGCAGCCUUCUGGCCUAAUACUGACGCUGAGGUGCGAAAGCAUGGGGAGCAAACAGGAUUAGAUACCCUGG
rnacentral:rRNA from 1 species